GAUAUAUUCUGUUGUUGCUGUGGACAACUUCUUGGGUGGAAAUAUGUGGCAACACAUGACAAAAGCCAAAAGUACAAGGAAGGAAAGUUUGUUAUUGAAAGAUGGAGGAUAGUUGAGGAGGGGAGUGAGGAAUUCAAUUUGGAAGCUCUACCCAGUUCAAGUGAUGCAGAGAGUCAUUAGGAAUUUAAUGCAACUUUGUGAAAUCAAUGGUGCAGAAAGUAUUAGAGUUUUAGGAGUUAUAAACUUGAGACCUUGAAACCUCUGUAAAAAGUGCAGGUUUGGUGGAGUUGAGGAAUGGGGUUACAUCAAAGAAUUAGAAUAUGCGCAUUUAUAUCCUCUACGCACAUCAAAUCUUGAUUGCUGGAUUCAGAUGUGGAAGUAAUAGUUUUUGGAAGGGAUUAAAACCAAGAAAAUAAACCAGUUUCUGUAUUAUGGGAUUAAUUUUCGUUUGUUGUGGUGUUUAACUAACGUGAAAAGCAAAGUCAAUAAACACCGAACUCCCCAUGGUAG
rnacentral:misc_RNA from 1 species